AAGUAAAAGUCGUAACCAGGUUUCCGUAGGUGAACCUGCGGAAGGAUCAUUCAUAAUAGGUGUUCUACUGCACUUUUUUAAAAAUAGUACUCACCUUGUGUGCAAUGUUUGUUGGACUCUCUCUCGGGAGAGUUUGACACCUACACCAACCUUUUUAUUUUGAACCACUUUGUCUGAAAAAUAUUAUGAAUACUUAAUUCAAAAUACAACUUUCAACAACGGAUCUCUUGGCUCUCGCAUCGAUGAAGAACGCAGC
rnacentral:misc_RNA from 1 species